UUUUUUGGUAAGAGGAAAAAUAGUAUUAUAGGAGGUUAUUAUUGAUUUGGGGUUUAAAUGGGCUGAAUCUUUUAAUUUAGGAACCAUUUUUGGGCCUUACAAGAAUAGACAUUUUUGGACUAAGAAAGAAGGUUCUUUUGCACUCUUACCCUUGCCCUUUGUAUCUUCUCCUUCUCUUUUUUUAUGCCAACUCUUGAUGCAGAAAUUGGCACUCACAACAAUACGGGCUUAACCAAGUAUAAUUCAAAUUAAUUGAACAAUUCAAUUAAAGAGAAUAUUACGUGUUGAGGCACUUUUCUGAAAGUUUAGCCGUAAUUAGGCACUUCACAAUCAUUAGACACUUUUUUGAUGUGAAUUGACAUCACUACCCUCUAACUAUAUCUUCCUUUGCUUAGUAAUAUCUCUUCGUUAUCUUUUUUUUUAGGAAUACAAAAACAAUUUUGGCCUCUCUUGUUCUUCAUCUCUCUUUCCAGAAUAAAAAUCCAAUCUUUUAGGACACUCUUAAUAUUCAAAAUUGAAUCUCUUAAGGUUUAUCAUCAUCUUCCUUAUCUCUCAACAAUCUAUUGCUUCUCUUCUUCUUUCUCUCUCGAGAUCUUUUUCAAAUAUAUUCUCAAAUCCACCUUUGUCUGCUGGAUCCGAUUCCAAAACAUGUGAAAGUCUCCGGUCACAGAAUUUCCGUCAGAAGUAACCUCGAAAAUUACAACAACGCUAUCGACAUUCUCUCUUUCGAUUUCGAUUCCAUGAUCGUGAAGCCUCUCCCGAAUUUCAACAACCGCAUCAAAAUUGUAACCACUUGGGCAAGUUACGUUUCUCUCUUUCUCUCGAAGUUCUAGACCCUAUCUUUUUGCCGCUCCAACAAUCAUAUCUCCGUCAAGAGGACGUUAUCCUCUCAAACGUGGAUCUAGCUCUGAUUCUCUUCACUUAUAUUUCGCAGAUUAGUUUUUUUUUACAAAGGAUUCGAGAUUAUUUUGGAAACCAUGACCAAUUAAUUUGGUUAAUCUUAUUAAAUGAACAAAAUUAACCAUACAAUUACAUCCACAAGGUUAAUACAUUCACAUACUAUACUAUAUAAACUCUACCAUAAAACGUUGGAUAUGUGGACACACAUCAUAAUGACAGUCAGUGUUGUGGACAGCCUUUGCUAAUUUUGGUUCAUGAACUUUAGCUUCAUGGAUACAACGUGAGCCUUUGAGACCUUGUAGAGAUCUUCUGUAAUUUCAGUAAAAUUAAAAGUUGGAUUUAACAAUUAUAACCAUCCACAAAUGUGUGUAUGUCUUGUUAUAAGAAUUUAUCUUUAGAUCCAAUACAAAAAUGUUGACAACUAAUGUUUUCUCUUUUCUCUCUCUUACUAAUCGUUUUAUGUCUUCGUGUCAAAACAAGAAACUAACCAAAGACUAGAGAGAAAGAGAGUGAAGGUUCUUUUUGUGCUUGUGUUAAAAUGAGUGAGUUAAGCAAAGCAUUAAUGAGAAAUGAGAGAUGUAAGAGAAGUGAACCUCUAAAAGUUAAAUAGAGGAAGAACCCCAAAAGCUCAACAAUUUUUUAUCGACGAUUACUGUUCAUGUCUAAAUUUGUCCAUUGAUAUGAAACGACAUGUGAGUUACUAGGUGACCAUUUGGACUUGAUUUUUUGGACACUCGUCAAUGUCCUCUAUCCACCGCUUUUCAGCCACUGUUCUGUAGCCUUUGCAGCAAGUGUUCUGUAACCACCAAUUAAUAUGGACAUCAUUGUAACAAAAUCACCACAUAUAGCUUGUUUUUGGGAUUGUUCACCUAUUAAUCAAACAUGAAAAGAUUCACAAAUCUCACCAUAACAAUCCAUAAUUCACAAUCCAUAAUAAGCCAUCCAUAAUGCACAUACCAAUAACAAAAGCAGAGCGAGCUACAAACACACUUUUAUCCACGAACAAAGAUUUACCAAACACAUCCAUCAACGUUCGAUAUAUCAACUUGGGCUUCUCUAUCAGUUUUCAAAUAAAUUAAACCCAUAACUUCAAUAUUUUCAGAAAAAACAUGACUAGCAAACUAUAAGAGCCUAAUCCACUAAUUGUUCGAUUUAAUCGCAAGUAAAUUCACGAUGAACAAAGACCUCUAAUCUCUGUAACAUCGUAAUAUCUAGAAUUUCACGGUGAUAUAAACAGAAAAAAUCAGUAGAGACAAUAACAAAGAAACUUAUUGUUAGAGGAUUCUGAGAAUCGCAAGGAUGAUGAUCAUCUUCUUCCUGGGUUUGUUGUCGUGGAUCUCAAACUUGGAGAUUAUGAAGAGAUUAUGAGGAGACGACAAAUCGAAAGUUUAUGAGGAGAUUAUAUAUGGUAUAAUGAAGAUUGGUGAUUUCUUAUGGAAAGGAGAGAAAAUUAAUGGGAACGACCAUGAUUUUGUAAGAAUUAUAGAGAACAACAAUGAUUUUGAAAGAGAGAAUUGAAAAUGAUGAAAAACAAAAGAAUAUGGAAGAGAGAGAUGAUAAAAAGAAGAUAAUUUCUCACCCACACGAUCUCAACAAUAAUGAGUUAAAAUUAUUGCGUAAUCACUACUUUAGGGAUAAAUUGGUCCAAUUUUCUUUCAAAAAGAUGGCAAAGUGUUCACUCUCUCAUAAGUGUCUCAAAAAGAAUAAUAUUAUCAAAAAGUGCCUAAACGUGUCACAAUUCCUUCAAUUAAAUCAGGGAAUCCCGAUUUACCUCUUAAUAGCCUUUGAAAAAAGCCCAUAUAAGUUGCCAGUCGACUUCCCACAAAAAAAGAAAAGGAAACGCCGACUUUCCAAAAAGAGAAAUCAUAAGAAAUUUCUUAUAAGAUAAUGACAAGGUUUGAAGAUAAAGGUAACUUGGAGAUUCAAACCCUAUAUUUAAGGAAAUUGAGUUUAUAUUCUUUUGUUUUUUUUCCUUCU
rnacentral:sRNA from 1 species